GUAUUUUUACCGCCGGGUAAAAACUUAAGCGUUGGACUUCGUAUCGUUAGGCCAUAGAAGAUACGAGGCUCUGGCGCUUUUAUUUU
rnacentral:ncRNA from 1 species